AGCGAACGCUGGCGGCAGGCCUAAUACAUGCAAGUCGAGCGCACCUUCGGGUGAGCGACGGACGGGUGAGUAACGCGUGGGAACGUGCCCUUUGGUACGGGAUAACUGAGGGAAACUUCAGCUAAUACCGUAUGUGCCCUACGGGGGAAAGAUUUAUCGCCAUUGGAGCGGCCCGCGUUGGAUUAGCUAGUUGGUGGGGUAAAGGCUCACCAAGGCUACGAUCCAUAGCUGGUCUGAGAGGAUGAUCAGCCACACUGGGACUGAGACACGGCCCAGACUCCUACGGGAGGCAGCAGUAGGGAAUCUUGCGCAAUGGGCGAAAGCCUGACGCAGCCAUGCCGCGUGAAUGAUGAGGGUCUUAGGAUUGUAAAAUUCUUUCACCGGGGAAGAUAAUGACGGUACCCGGAGAAGAAGCCCCGGCUAACUUCGUGCCAGCCGCCGCAGUAACAC
rnacentral:rRNA from 1 species